UUAAGUAGGCAAUACAUGGGCGACUAAAUAAAAUAUACUCGCAAUGUAUAGCCUACAUAACU
rnacentral:pre_miRNA from 1 species